GUAGGUGGCAAGCGUUGUCCGGAAUUAUUGGGCGUAAAGCGCGCGCAGGUGGUUCUUUAAGUCUGAUGUGAAAGCCCCCGGGCUCAACCGGGGAGGGUCAUUGGAAACUGGGGAACUUGAGUGCAGGAGAGGAAAGUGGAAUUCCACGUGUAGCGGUGAAAUGCGUAGAUAUGUGGAGGAACACCAGUGGCGAAGGCGACUUUCUGGCCUGUAACUGACACUGAGGCGCGAAAGCGUGGGGAGCAAACAGGAUUAGAUACCCUGGUAGUCCACGCCGUAAACGAUGAGUGCUAAGUGUUGGGGGGUUUCCGCCCCUCAGUGCUGCAGCUAACGCAUUAAGCACUCCGCCUGGGGAGUAUGGUCGCAAGACUG
rnacentral:rRNA from 1 species